rnacentral:lncRNA from 1 species
GUCACUCACUGCAAGUCUCGCUGCAGUACGUCACUGAUAAAGCCACUCAACGUUGGGGAUGACUUCUUUCGGCUCGAGCUACGGAGUUGCUUCUGCCCAACCCGAUUUUGGAACUCGUUCACUCACCGGUACAGGAGUACGGCGUUUACCGUAGGGCCACCGGCAAUAACUGCCAGAAGAAGUUGUGGGAUUCCCUGGAACUGGAGCAACCAACAGUUUGUGUGCACCAUGUGGGUAAUGGGAAUCGAACCUGGGUCCUCUAUAAGACUGGCCAGUGCUCUUAACUACUGAGGUGCAUUUCUUUCGGAAUUGAUUCACAUAACUAUUAUGCUAUACUGUUUGAAGUAUUUAUUAGAAAAACAUCAGAAAGAGAUUUGGACCACUUUCAUUUACAUGAAGAAAUAUCUUAGGGGUAUCUUUGAGUAUCUUCUGACACUAGAAGAUCCUGUAAACUCUACAGACUUCAACAGAAUUGAAGAACCUGGACAGAGCAGAGUUACCAACAAGAGAGCCCAGGGAUAGCAUUAACAUGGUGGUUACUCAAGACCUAACUCAGCCAGGGAGACAUACCAAGGCCUAUGAGGGAGUGGCAACAUUUGGAGGUGUGGCCUUGUUGGAAUAGGUGUGACCUGGUUGGAGUAGGUGUGUCACUGUGGGUGUGGGUAUGAGACCCUCACCCUAGUUGCCUGGAAGUCAGUCUUCCACUAGCAGCCUUUGGAUGAAGACAUAGAACUCUCAGCUCUUCCUGUGCCAUGCCUGCCUGGAUACUGCCAUGCUCCCACCGUGAUGGUAAUGGACUGAACCUCUGAACCUGUAAGCCAGCCCCAAUUAAAUGUUGUUUUUUAUAAGA